CCUCCGUCCACUCUGACGUCCACCAUCAACCUGCGAACAUCAUCUACACUCUUACCUCUCAAUAACCACCAUAAUGAUACUAUUUUGGUGGAAUUCCCUCGGUAGGGGGUGGAGAGAAGACUCCUCGUGAGUUCCCAGUAAUGAUGUUGCAUCACUGGGACAAGUUAAUAUCCUUAUCAGUGUACUUGCCGACAGAGGCUCAAAGUUGGCAGAAAAUGAGCGGCGUAUGGCAGCAGCGGCGAAUGCCACCCACCCGGUAUUUUAUUUACUCCAAUUCGAAGGUGCAGUAGUGGAAUGAGAAGUGCAAGACAGAGGACUUGCUGAUCAGAUCUCAAGAGGGGCAUUGCAGAAAAUGGAUUGUGAAAUGCAGAGCAGCCACCACAUGAUCAGUGCUCUUGGGCUGUCAACUAAGAAGUAUUUGGAGCAGGUCUGACUGCAAGCUUUCCUCUUGUCUGGCCCAGUUAAAUGGAAGUGCCCCUGGGUUGUCAACCAAGCAGACUUGAGGUAAAAGUUUGAGGCUUAGAUAAAAAUUUAUGAAAACAUACUAUACAGCCGCUCCUCGCUUGGCAACGUACUAUUUACCGACGACUUACACAGGCUCUGACCAGUAAUGCAUACCCAAGUGUAUAAGGUGCCCAGAUGUUAUGGCUUAGAUGUCGCUCCAAACAGCUAAUAUCCCAAACCCCUCCUUCAACAUGCAGGCUUUGUACUUCCAACCUCCAGGACUCGAGUCUGGCUUAGACCCUUGUAGGAUUGGAGGGUGUCCUGACAUUCACCUUCUCCAGACUAGGUAAUGAUGUUGCAUCACUGGGACAAGUUAAUAUCCUUAUCAGUGUACUUAUCGAGAUAGGCGCAAAGUUGGCAGAAAAUGAGUGGCGUAUGGCAGCAGCGGUGAAUGCCACCCACCCAGUAUUCCUUUAUUUACUCCAAUUCGAAGGUUUCUUGUGUUUUCCAAUAUUUUUCUUUUCUAAGUAACUUGUGUGGCCUGUGAGACCAAAGGUGCAUUGUUCAAAUAUACACUCAUUGGUUACAACACAAUAACUGAAACAUUAUCUUAGGGUAUUUUACAGAACAAUGUUUCAGUAUAUACUGUUUGUAAUAUUGGUUUCCUAGGUGCAGUAGUGGAAUGAGAAGUGCAAGACAGAGGACUUGCUGCUGAUCAGGUUUUAUCAUUGGACUGAAUAUCAAACAAGAUCUCAAGAGGGGCAUUGCAGAAAAUAGAUUGUGAAAUGCAGAGCAACCACCACAUGAUCAGAUCUCAAGAGGGGCAUUGCAGAAAAUGGAUUGUGAAAUGCAGAGCAGCCACCACAUGAUCAGUGCUCUUGGGCUGUCAACUAAGAAGUAUUUGGAGCAGGUCUGACUGCAAGCUUUCCUCUUGUCUGGCCCAGUUAAAUGGAAGUGCCCCUGGGUUGUCAACCAAGCAGACUUGAGAGGUGCCCAGAUAUUAUGGCGUAGAUGUCGCUCUGAACAGCUGAUAUCCCAAACCCCUCCUUCAACAUGCAGGCAUUGUACUUCCAACCUCCAGGACUCGAGUCUGGCUAGACCCUUGUAGGUUUGUAAUUUCUUGAUUACAGUAUUAAUAAUCUGGCUAACUGGUUUCCCUGAAUCUCUUCACAAAAUAUUACCCUGUUCACACUUCAACAGCUUGUCCAGUCUCAAAAGCCAUUAAGUCUCCAUUCACAACAAUCUUAUGCUCAUAUGCCUGCUGCAUAUCCAGGCCCCUUGCCCAUACCCCCUCCCCCCUGCCCCCUUAUUUUUUCUGUAUCUGUGCUCUAUGACCUUGUGGUUUUUGUGCUUUUGAUAAUUACCUCCCCCCUCCCCUCCUACAGAUUUAUACUACUCCACCUCUCUAAAUGAUCAAUUCAUCUCGAUAACUCCUCUUCAGCCCUCUGAAUAAUACUUGUAGGAACUCCACACCUCUAAAUUUCCACAAAUUCUUUGCAUAAUAUUUACACCACAUGUUGGCCUUACACAUCUCCGUUGUCUGCAGCCCCUUUUGCACUGCAGCAUUCACAACCCAUGCUUCACAUCCACAAGUGUUGGUAGCACUAUAAUCUUGUACAUUUAGUCUUUUUCUUUCUUUGUUUUUCUGUUUCUCUAUACCACCCUCCCUGAGGGUUUGACAAGGUUAGGUUAAGGAUCCCUAGCUUUGACAAGCUAAGAACUGUUACCUACAUCAGCUCAUUUGAAAGCAUUUGUAUUAUGACAAAAGUAGGGAACAGGAUGAAGUUGGAGCCAUCUGUGGGGCCAGCAUUUUCAUCUGAUCAACCGACUCUCGUUGACAUAAUGCUGUACGAAUGUGUUCCAUACUAGUAAUCCUGGGGAUAAAUGAUCUCUUCCUAUUCCCCUCCUUUUUCUUUCUCACCAGAUACCUCAGGGCACUUUUUUUUUUUUUUUUAUUUUUUUUUUAUCAUCACACUGGCCGAUUCCCACCAAGGCAGGGUGGCCCGAAAAAGAAAAACUUUCACCAUCAUUCGCUUCAUCACUGUCUUGCCAGAAGGGUGCUUUACACUACAGUUUUUAAACUGCAACAUUAACACCCCUCCUUUUUUUCCCCCUUCAUAAAUUCUAUGGUUAACAUCAUCCUUCAUAAACCAACACAUUUGCUUACAAAUCUACUCCAAAUAUCUGAAGACUUGCUUCAUCCUCACAUCCAGUUUUUCUUUACCUAACUAGUUUGAUGCCUUCAUAACUGUGUUCACUUUCAACUUUUUCUUUACGCGCCCUCCUAAACUCGUCCACUAACCUUUACAACUUCUCUUUAGAAUCUCCCCAAAGUGCAGUAUCAUCAGCAAGAAGUAACUCCUUUCAUUUUGUAUUUAAUUCCCCAAAAUUUAAUCCCUCUCCCCAACACCCUAGGGUUUGCUACUUUUACAGCUCCAUCUAUAAAUGUUAAUCAUCCAUGGUGACACUACACAUCCCUGCCUAAAGCCUUCUUUUACUGGAAAGUAAUCGCCCUCCUACACACCCUAACCUCAGCCUCACUAUCUUCAUAAAUACUUUACAUACAGCAUUUAGUAACUUAAUACCUAUUCCAUGCACUUUCAACAUGUCACAUUGCUCUCGUAUCCAUCCUAUUAUAUGGCUUUUCUAAAUACAUAAAUGCAAUGAAAACCUCUACUUUUUAUCUAAAUAUUGUUCAUGUAGAUGCUUCAGUGUAAACAAAUGAUCUACUCCUUCUAAAGCUGCCUCGUUCAUCUGCAAUCCUGCUCUCCCUUACAUCUAUAAUUUUCAAUAACCUUAUCAUACACUAUAUAGUAUACUCUGUAAACUUUCAACAAACCAGUCAUAGUGCACCAAAGCAGGGUGGUCCAAUUAUAGUUGGAAUGUUAAAUUUUAUUUUCUAUAUUAAAACAUUUCUAAUAGACUAAUACUUUUACACAAUUUAUAAGACUUAAUCUUCAGGAUGUGACUUAACCCAAAAUUACUUUUUACUUUUCUGACCCAUUUUGGGGUCUUAAAUUUUUUCACUUCAUUCUCUCUUAACUUUCUUGACAAAUAUUUCUAAAGUGUGGUUUGUGAAUUUUGGAUUGCAAUAGUGCUUAUUCCAAGCAUUGAAGUCUAAAGGCAUCCCAGUGAAGACUGGAGUAAAAGGUGAAUAGAAUUCAGUAGGUUAGGGCUUUAGCAUCUAGCAGGCAUGUUUGAUAGAUUGGAGGGAAAGUUAGUUAUUGGUAUUGUAUGGGCUGUGGACAUGGGAACAUUCAGCAGAACUAGAUAGUUUGGAGAUAGUGCUUUUAUUUUGAAGGAUGAUGGAUAUU